AUUGAACGCUGGCGGCAGGCCUAACACAUGCAAGUCGAACGAGUGGCGGACGGGUGAGUAAUGUCUGGGAAACUGCCCGAUGGAGGGGGCUAACUACUGGAAACGGUAGCUAAUACAGCAUACCAUCGGAUGUGCCCAGAUGGGAUUAGCUAGUAGGUGGGGGAAAGGAUCACCUAGCAGACGAGCCCUAGCUGGUCGGAGAGGAGGACCAGCCACACUGGAAGUUAGACACGGUCCAGACUCCUACGGGAGGCAGCAGUUGGGAAUAUGGCACAAGGGGCGCAAGCCUGAUGCAGCCAUGCCGCGUGUAUGAAGAAGGCCUUCGGGUUGUAAAGUACUUUCAGCGGGGAGGCGUUACCCGCAGAAGAAGCACCGGCUAACUCCGUGCCAGCAGCCGCGGUAAUUC
rnacentral:rRNA from 1 species